GAUUGCAUCGCUUAGUGGUUAGAGCAUCUCGUUGUGGCUACCUGAAUAGCUCCGAGAAGACCCGUGUUCGAUUCACGGUGCGAUCA